UACAGAGGGUGCAAGCGUUAAUCGGAAUUACUGGGCGUAAAGCGCGCGUAGGCGGCUACUUAAGUCGGAUGUGAAAGCCCUUGGCUCAACUGAGGAAGUGCACCCGAAACUGAGUGGCUAGAGUACGAAAGAGGGUCGCGGAAUUCCCGGUGUAGAGGUGAAAUUCGUAGAUAUCGGGAGGAACACCGGUGGCGAAGGCGGCGACCUGGGUCGAUACUGACGCUGAUGCGCGAAAGCGUGGGGAGCAAACAGG
rnacentral:rRNA from 1 species